AUGGUUUGCUGAGCAGGGAUCUGUGUCAGGUCAAUCCAUCUCACUCCUCUCCUGCCAUCACUCACCAGCAGCCCAGCCUUUAAAACUAUGCUCAUGUUCCAGAGACACUAAAUUUAGCUGUUUACUCAGGGGCAUUUAAAAUUAGCAGCAAAGGCCACCCUGAGCAUGUGACAGGGAGAGGUGGUGUCACCACGGGGCUCUGUGACCCUCCACGCUGCUCUCCCUUCUCCAAGACCUGUGGCAUCUUCAUUCCAGCUGUGCCCACCAAGAGCUCGGUGAUGAAGGUUGGUGGAAAGCAGAUGGAGGUGCUGGCAAGCUCAGAAUCAUCAAGGAAGAGGAUAAAGAGGAGGAGAAGGACACAAAAAAUGAAAUUUUGCACCAGUGAGAGUCAAUUGGUGCCACAACACCAGGCACAGGUGACACAGGGUGAUGGCCCUGUGUGAGCCAACCUCUGCCUUUACACACCUGAGCAGAUAUUGCUGCUUGCUCUGCAUGAAAACCACGCUUUCCAAAGAGAAAACAAGGAAGAAUUUAUGGAAAACAAAAAAAAAGAGAGAAAAAAAUAAGUUUUCUUUCUGAGUAACUGUGUAUGUACACAGGGAAUAUGGAAGUGCUUUUAUCAUAAACAACAAUUACAAUAAAUAAGAUCAUUUUUUGUAUCCACUGGGGAGGCGGCGAGGAUAUAUUAGCAUAAAAGUGACUCAGUCUCUAAGUCUAGAUGUUUCUGAGUGCACCACAUUUAUUUUCCACUUUCAAUGGCAAAUUUCACUUCCAGUCAUCAGCAUUUUUUUCCCUAGCUGAUGAUAUUUACACACUUUUUUUUUUUUUUGGUUGUUGUUUUCUUGGAGAGAGUGAGAAAAAUCCAGCCGAGGGAGGCAUUUUUGGUUAACUUUCUCCAUUUCCUGGGUAAAUGCUGUUUGUGCUCUCAAAUGGCUCCCAGGCCCUGCUGAGGCUGGAGAUGUGAGCUUGAUGUCACCCAUGUGGGGUGUCCUGGAGAGGGGAGUCACAAGCAGCUCCUGCUGUGCUCCACGGGCUCCUCUCCCCUCUCCUGGCACCCACCUUGGUGGGACUCAAACAUAAAUAUUGGGAUAUCAGGGUGGGAUUUUCCCUUGGGAACACAUCACUUGACCUCGGUGCCCUUUCAGCUUCUGACCCUUCUGAUGAUGGGAAAGAUGUAAUGAAAAGCUCUGAGCAGCCAGAGUAAAAUUUGGGUGAUGAAAACUUAGGUCAUGCCUGAUUUAUGAGCUCUGCUGGGGUGUGGGCUGUGCCGACCUCCAGAGCAAAUCCUAAGUGAAACAUCAGGGACUGCUUUCUCCCCCUGAUUGUAAACAAAUCAAAACCAGCAGGGGAGAAAAGCAGUUUUACUUCUUCUUUCAUUAUCUUUUUAAUAUCCUGGAUGGCAGCCAGUGUUUCUCAAUUAAGUGUCUUUAAAACUGUGCCCAGCCAAGUCUGGCUGUUUGAGGGGUGUAUGAGCAGCUGCUCUGAGGCCUGAUGAGAGCUGCUGCUUCUGGGGCUCCUCAGAACCUCUAAUCUGCUUGUUUCUCUCCAGGAGAAAAUGUAAAGCUCUGCCCUCUGCAUGUCGUGGAAAAGGAGAUGGCAUUUCUCACCGUAGCCUCAGAGGAAUUUCACCCAAGACAAAUGGUGUCCAACCAAAAAACCCAUCUCCUAAAGCUGGAAGCCUCACACAGAUGGGAUCUGUUUUCCAAAGGAUCAUAGGAGUGAGGAUUUAAUGAUGUUGAAGGUGUCUAAUUCAUUUCUUUGCUCAGCCCUGGGCCAGUAUGAAGUUGCCCAGGGUCUUGUUCUGGGUAGUUUCAGGUAUCUCCAAGGUGUAGCUGCAGAGCUUUUCUGGAUCCCUGGUCCAGGGCUGCACUGGACUCAGAGGAAAUACUUUUUAUUUGUUUCUAGAGGGAAUUCCCCUUGUUGGAUGUUGAUCCCACCACCUCUGAGGGGAGCCUGGCUCUGUCUUCUCUGCCCCCCAGUGCAGCAGCUCAGCCAGGUCUCCACCUAAAACCUUCUUUUGUCCAGAGUGGAUGAACCCAGCUCCCUCAGCAUCUCCUUGAGAGCAUCUUGCACCCUCCUGACCAUUACUGUGCUCUCUGGAUCCCUUGUCCAGGUCACUGGGCAUGGCCUUCAGGCAGAGUGGAAUCCUUAUCCACACUGUCCUUAUCCCAGGGAAAUCUCCCAGAGAUCUGCUGAUCUCCAGGAUGGAAGCCCAGAUGUCUCCCCUGGAUGGGGAAACAUAACACUGGUUUAACUUUUCAUUCAUUAAUUAUUGAUGGCCUAUGCAAAUGCUAAAGUCUUUUUUCUUUCUCUUUCAUUUUCUGUCCCCUUUUCUUUUCAACUGGUGCUGAUAUUCUGGCUGCUCUGUUUGAUCUGAGAUUCUCAAAGCAAGAGGUUCACCCAGCUCCUCUUUCAAGCUGCCUCAGAAUGAGCUGCAGAGCUGGGAGCCUUCUCCUCCUUUUGUUCUGCACUUGGCUGAGAGAUUCCAAUUUCAUUUGAAGAUAUUUCAAAGUCCUUUUUCAGUUAUUUUGGUGCUAUGUCCCUCCAUCAGAUAUUACCUCUUGAAGAAACCUAGGGUUUGGAAUAUUUUUAAGCUCUGUUAGAUAUUUCUAACCUAAUGCAAUUAAGGAUUUUAUAUUGUUUUUCCUAUUAACUUAAAUUAUUAAAAGAUAGAAACU